UACGGAGGGUGCAAGCGUUAUCCGGAUUCACUGGGUUUAAAGGGUGCGUAGGUGGGUUGUUAAGUCCGUGGUGAAAUCUCCGAGCUUAACUCGGAAACUGCCGUGGAUACUAUCAAUCUUGAAUACUGUGGAGGUAAGCGGAAUAUGUCAUGUAGCGGUGAAAUGCUUAGAUAUGACAUAGAACACCGAUAGCGGAGGCAGCUUGCUACACAGUCAUUGACACUGAGGCACGAAAGCGUGGGGAGCAAACAGG
rnacentral:rRNA from 1 species